rnacentral:rRNA from 1 species
GACGAACGCUGGCGGCGUGCUUAACACAUGCAAGUCGAACGGAAAGGCCCUGCUUUUGUGGGGUGCUCGAGUGGCGAACGGGUGAGUAACACGUGAGUAACCUGCCCUUGACUUUGGGAUAACUUCAGGAAACUGGGGCUAAUACCGGAUAGGAGCUCCUGCUGCAUGGUGGGGGUUGGAAAGUUUCGGCGGUUGGGGAUGGACUCGCGGCUUAUCAGCUUGUUGGUGGGGUAGUGGCUUACAAAGGCUUUGACGGGUAGACGGCCUGAGAGGGUGACCGGCCACAUUGGGACUGAGAUACGGCCCAGACUCCUACGGGAGGCAGCAGUGGGGGAUAUUGCACAAUGGGCGGAAGCCUGAUGCAGCAACGCCGCGUGCGGGAUGACGGCCUUCGGGUUGUAAACCGCUUUCGCCUGUGACGAAGCGUGAGUGACGGUAAUGGGUAAAGAAGCACCGGCUAACUACGUG